rnacentral:rRNA from 1 species
ACGUAGGAUCCGAGCGUUGUCCGGAGUUACUGGGUGUAAAGGGUGCGUAGGCUGUUCUGUGCGUCAGAGGUGAAAUCCACGGGCUUAACUCGUGGGGUGCCUUUGAUACGGCAGGGCUUGAGUACGAGAGAGGUGCGUGGAAUUCCUGGUGUAGCAGUGAAAUGCGUAGAUAUCAGGAGGAACACCGGUGGCGAAGGCGGCGCACUGGCUCGUAACUGACGCUGAGGCACGAAAGCGUGGGGAUCAAACAGGAUUAGAUACCCUGGUAGUCCACGCCUUAAACGAUGCAUGCUUGGUGUUGGUCUCGCAAGAGAUCAGUGCCGUAGUUAACAUGAUAAGCAUGCCACCUGGGGAGUACGAUCGCAAGGUUG